rnacentral:rRNA from 1 species
GUAAGCAGAGGAAUUUCAUCAAACUUGGAUUUUGUAAGUAGUUGCGAAUGAACACAAACAUGUUCAACCUCAAAAUUGGUGUGCUCCAUGUGUGCACUGACUUGUUUCAGAGUUCAUCACUAUCAAAGCUGCAUGCAAAUGAUUUUUGAAAGGAUACAACAUGGGAUGUGACAUUCAUGUCUGUGUGCUUGCUUUGAUUACAGUGUGUGCUCUAUGAUUCACAUUUCUUGUAACUGAAAUGCAAAUUGCAUGGUAAAGUUCAUGUGAUGUGAUAUGUGUUUGAGAUUCAUGAUGUGCAAGUACCAUGAGGGAAAUGUGAAAAGGACUUUGAAAAGAGAAUUAAACAAAGCCUGCAUUUGCUGAUUGUAAACGUAAGUGAGGAUUGUAAUAGUAAUGUCUCUGCAUCAGUUGACAUGUCUUACGUGUUGUUGUAUGCUUGGCAUUAUGUUCAGCACCACUGAGUGUGCGUACUGGCUUUGAUUGAACUGAUUUCAUGUGGAACUGUUGAAUGAAGAUGCAUGUACACUUGUGUGAAGUAAUGUACGCACCAACUGUGAUCAUGCACUGUUUGCACAUGUUUUCAUGUGCUUCCUUGCUAAUUCUUGAUGUCACUUGGCAUAUUAUAACUACCCUCACUUGACCCG